GAUGAACGCUGGCGGCGUGCCUAAUACAUGCAAGUCGAGCGAAGCGGGGACGGGUGAGUAACACGUGGAUAACCCCCUAUAAGACUGGGAUAACUUCGGGAAAACGGAGCUAAACCGGAUACUUAUCGAUGGAUCCGUGAGGCAUUAGCUAGUGGGUAAGGUAACGGCGUAACAAGGCAACGAUGCAUAGCCGACCUGAGAGGGUGAUCGGCCACACUGGGACUGAGACACGGGCCAGACUCCUACGGGAGGCAGCAGUAGGGAAUCUUCCGCAAUGGGCGAAAGCCUGACGGAGCCACGCCGCGUGAGUGAAGAAGGUCUUCGGGUCGUAAAACUCUGUCAUUAGGGAAGCGGUACCUAAUCAGAAAGCCACGGCUAACUACGUGCCAGCAGCCGCGGUAAUUC
rnacentral:rRNA from 1 species